rnacentral:rRNA from 1 species
AUGCCGGUGGCGCAGGCGGGAGGGCAACCCGUGGCCGCGGACAGCGCCUCGUCCCGCAGGAACCGCCGCCGCCAGAAGAAGUCCUCCAACGCCAACGCCGCGCCCGUGGUCGCUGUUCCGGCGCCGGUGCCGCCCACGCCGAUGCAGCGCCUCUUCGACACCAGCCGCGAGGUCUUCGCCGGCUCCGCCCCUGGCUUCGUCCCCCCGCACGACGCCGUCGCCCGCCUCGCCGCAAUCCUCAGUGAGCAUCCCCUCCAGCGCCGUCGUGCUAUGUGGGGGUCACCGGUGCUGCUACGGUGGAGCUGCAAUGCAACACCGAUGGCGGAGCUGCAACGCUGCGUGCAUGGACCUCAAGUCAUCGGCGGCGCGGCAGAGCUGCGAUGCAGCGCGUGUACUGCUGCGAUGGAGCAUGGACAGGCGGCUGCCGGUGCUGUGAUGGAGCACUGUCGGACCACCAGUGCUGCGACGGAGCAGCUCCCUUGCGGCUAUGGAGCAUCGCCGGACCACCGAUGCUGCGAUGAAGCAGCUCCCUUGCUGCUAUGGAGCAUCGCCGGACCACCGGCGCUGCGAUGA